CGUGUAGGCGGAUGGGAACGUCGGUAGUUGAAAGCCCCCGGCUCAACCGGGGAAGUGGUGCCGAAACGACCCGUCUGGAGGGACGUAGGGGGACCUGGAACUUCCGGUGGAGCGGUGAAAUGCGUUGAGAUCGGAAGGAACGCCCGUGGCGAAAGCGAGGUCCUGGACGUCUACUGACGCUGAGACGCGAAAGCUAGGGGAGCAAACG
rnacentral:rRNA from 1 species